rnacentral:rRNA from 1 species
AUACGUAGGUGGCAAGCGUUGUCCGGAAUUAUUGGGCGUAAAGCGCAUGUAGGCGGUGCCUUAAGUCUGUCGUGAAACUGCGGGGCCUAACCCCGUAUGGCGAUGGAAACUGUGGCACUUGAGUGCAGGAGAGGAAAGGGGAACUCCCAGUGUAGCGGUGAAAUGCGUAGAUAUUGGGAAGAACACCGGUGGCGAAGGCGCCUUGCUGGACUGUGUCGGACGCUGAGAUGCGAAAGCCAGGGUAGCGAACGGGAUUAGACCCCCCGGUAGUCCUGGCCGUAAACGAUGGGUACUAGGUGUGGGAGGUAUCGACCCCUUCCGUGCCGGAGUUAACGCAAUAAGUACCCCGCCUGGGGAGUACGGCCGCAAGGCUUAAACUCAAAUGAAUUGACGGGG